rnacentral:rRNA from 1 species
CUGGGAAACUGCCUGAUGGAGGGGGAUAACUACUGGAAACGGUAGCUAAUACCGCAUAACGUCGCAAGACCAAAGAGGGGGACCUUCGGGCCUCUUGCCAUCAGAUGUGCCCAGAUGGGAUUAGCUAGUAGGUGGGGUAAUGGCUCACCUAGGCGACGAUCCCUAGCUGGUCUGAGAGGAUGACCAGCCACACUGGAACUGAGACACGGUCCAGACUCCUACGGGAGGCAGCAGUGGGGAAUAUUGCACAAUGGGCGCAAGCCUGAUGCAGCCAUGCCGCGUGUGUGAAGAAGGCCUUCGGGUUGUAAAGCACUUUCAGCGAGGAGGAAGGUGGUGAACUUAAUACGCUCAUCAAUUGACGUUACUCGCAGAAGAAGCACCGGCUAACUCCGUGCCAGCAGCCGCGGUAAUACGGAGGGUGCAAGCGUUAAUCGGAAUUACUGGGCGUAAAGCGCACGCAGGCGGUUUGUUUAAGUCAGAUGUGAAAUCCCCGGGCUCAACCUGGGAACUGCAUUUGAAACUGGCAAGCUAGAGUCUCGUAGAGGGGGGUAGAAUUCCAGGUGUACCG